rnacentral:sRNA from 1 species
CUUGGUCAUUUAGAGGAAGUAAAAGUCGUAACAAGGUUUCCGUAGGUGAACCUGCGGAAGGAUCAUUACAAGUGAGGCUACCGAACGUUGGAAACAGCGGUUAGGAGCUUACACCCACCCGUGUUUACAUACUAUUGUUGCUUUGGCGGGCCGACAGGCUUCGGUCAGUCUACCGGCUCCGGCUGGUAAGCGCCCGCCAGAGGACCCCAAACUCUGAAUUUUAGUGUCGUCUGAGUACUAUCUAAUAGUUAAAACUUUCAACAACGGAUCUCUUGGUUCUGGCAUCGAUGAAGAACGCAGCGAAAUGCGAUAAGUAAUGUGAAUUGCAGAAUUCAGUGAAUCAUCGAAUCUUUGAACGCACAUUGCGCCCGCUGGUAUUCCGGCGGGCAUGCCUGUUCGAGCGUCAUUAUGACCAAUCAAGCUCUGCUUGGCCUUGGGGCCCGCUAUACCGGCGGCCUUUAAAACUAGUGGCGGUGCCGUCUGGCUCUAAGCGUAGUAAUACUUCUCGCUACAGGGCCUAGUCGUCCACCCGCCAGAAUCUUCAACUUUCUUAGGUUGACCUCGGAUCAGGUAGGGAUACCCGCUGAACUUAAGCAUAUCAAUAAGCGGAGGA